rnacentral:lncRNA from 1 species
UUGCUUAUUGUCUGCAUGGAUUUCUCUGUUUACUCAUUCAUUUUUAUGUAUUGAUGUUCUAUCUCAAACCUAGAGGCGAGGGAGUGUUCUUGAUGAUGAUGAUUAACUCAGAUUGAUUAAUAUUUGAUUUUCUAGUGCGUUGUUUGUGAUGUAUAUCGUAUUUUCCAAUAAUAUUUGGACCCACACAAAUAUCGUAAUUAACUUGAGAGUGGAAUGUUCUUACGGGGAUAUGUGCAUUUUGGGUUAAAUUAUUAUGCAUGUCAUAUUUCACAUUUAGUUUGUGUACUUUACUCUUUUUUUAGGAAAAAAUCUUGGUGUAUUUCUGGACAUGCUUUUGAGGAUGGAGUAUCAAGUCAGAUGACCUUGUAAUAAAGAUGGUCUAUGUAAUCAGUAAAAAAUAAGAACCUAAUUUUGGGAUAAUGAUUUCUUGAUUCACUCUUCUCAAUUACAUUGGCUUAUAUACACAAGUAUCCUAAUUUACAGUGUACAUUAGUACCACGUAGCAACUCUAUUGUCCUUUUCUGCUUAUUACCAAUACGGUGUAUAUUAGUACCACGUAGCAACUCUAUUGUCUUUGUGUAUUGAUUUUGGCACUAAGUGCCUCUAGUGACUUAUUUGCUUCAUUUUCCUGACUUUGCAAUUAUUUUUAAAUAUGUGCAGGAAGACUGCUUCUAUAACCUGCCUUAUAAUAUUGGGUAUCAAAUUUUCGUGCUAUGUUUACAGAAGACGAGGGACGAAAUUAUGAUGUGUAGUCUCUCUAUAUAUGCAGAAAUAUACUUUGAUUGAAGAACUGUGGUAGCUUUAGAUGGUUAAUUGUAAAGAUAAUGAAUGAUUAUGUAGUGGAUG